GGGGAGAUGGCUCAGUGGUUAAGAGCACUGACUGCUCUGUCAGAGGUCCUGAGUUCAAUUCCCAGUAACCACA
rnacentral:tRNA from 1 species